UCUGCCACCGAAUACAUUAGCAUGGGAUAAUGGAAUAGGACCCUGUCCUCCUAUUUUCAGUUGGUUUUGGCAGCGCGAGGACUAGGGUAAUGAUUAAUAGGGAUAGUUGGGGGCAUUAAUAUUUAAUUGUCAGAGGUGAAAUUCUUGGAUUUAUGAAAGAUUAACUUCYGCGAAAGCAUCWRCCAAGGAUGUUUUCAUUAAUCAAGAACGAAAGUUAGGGGAUCGAAGACGAUCAGAUACCGUCGUAGUCUUAMCCUUAACGAUGCCGACCAGCGAUUAGGAGACGUUGAAUACCCCUCCCCACCAUCGGCGCGGUCGUCCUUGGCGUCUCGGUAUCGKCCGGGGCGCGGGAAAGGCCUACMCARCGGUGGUUCCG
rnacentral:rRNA from 1 species